rnacentral:rRNA from 1 species
AGUUGGUGGGGUGACCCGUCUGGUUAAUUUCGAUAACGAACGAGAUCCGAGCUGUUUAGUUGGCUGUGUUUAUUGCUUAGACACAUGUCUCCUAUAUGGACUGUCAGUAUGAGGCUGAAGGAAGUUUCGGGCUAAAUCAGGU